rnacentral:rRNA from 1 species
CCUACGGGGCGCUGCAGUGAGGAAUAUUGGUCAAUGGGCGGAAGCCUGAACCAGCCAAGUCGCGUGAGGGAUUAAGGCCCUGCGGGUCGUAAACCUCUUUUGCCGGGGAGCAGUGGUCCGGACGCGUCCGGACCGGGAGAGUACCCGGAGAAAAAGCAUCGGCUAACUCCGUGCCAGCAGCCGCGGUAAUACGGAGGAUGCGAGCGUUAUCCGGAUUUAUUGGGCGUAAAGGGUUCGUAGAUGGCAUAGUAAGUCUUUUGUAAAAAUGCUGGGCUCAACCCAGUAGGGCAAAAGAUACUGCAAAGCUAGAGUAUGACAGAGGCAAGUGGAACUACAUGUGUAGCGGUAAAAUGCGUAAAUAUAUGUAAGAACACCAGUGGCGAAGGCGGCUUGUUGGGUCGAUACUGACAUUGAGGCACGAAAGCGUGGGGAGCAAACAGGAUUAGAUACCCUUGUAGUC